GUUCGAUCUUGGUCUCUGCUGUGGUUCUUCGUCUCGCUUAGAUUGAUAGUGAGGGAGGUUGUUGAUCAGCAUAGACAGGUCUCAAUUUUCGUUUGUUUCCAGCUUGGAGGCAUAAAAGAAUUGGAGUCAAGGGGAAGAGUAACAUUUGGGUCUAGGUUUUGACCAGGUAGCAGCUAUACUUAUCUAAUUGGGUGUGAUUUUUUUUUUCCUUCUGUUCUUGCAGAACUGGACAAUAACUUUAUAGGAUUGUGGUACUCUUUUGUAACAAUAUCUCUCUAUUUGAAGCUAUGAUGAAAUUCAGCUUUGUUUUUUAUUCUCUGCCACUGGAUUUCAGUUAUAUUGAGCUAUUGGAUUUUGUGUUUUAUUGUUGUUGUGAUUGUCGGAGGUUUGGUUAGAAGCUGAGUUUUUUUUUUCGUGCGGUCUGAGUCUUGGUCUCUUUGCGUCCGGUAUGAUUUUUUGUUUUCGAAGAAUAACUUGAAUUCACUGACAGUGGAGGAGGUAAUAUCUUCGAUGUAUUGAAGUCAUUGAAUUUAGCUCCUUUCGAUCUGACUUAGUGGAAGCCUAUCUCAAACUAAGGGGCAGAAAAAAGAGCUGCAUUUUGGAUAUUUCUGCUCAAGUUUGUGAUCACCUUUGAAUUAUGCAUCAAUUGUUUUGAACCAAAGAACAUGCACAGAUGUGAUGUAGUUUGCAUAAAAUCUGACACUAAAAAUAUUGUAUUAUACUUCACACUAAGAACACUGAAGCAUAUUUGAAACUAGGAAUCUAUUAAAGGGAUGCAGGUCUGUUUUUUUUUUUUUUUCCCUCUUUUCAGAGUUAUUGUAUCUUCUGCUAAUGAUUAUUACUGGGUUUUUAGUUUGCUUCUUAAUGUCAUACUAAAAGGUCAAUUA